CCUACGGGAGGCAGCAGUGGGGGAUUUUGGACAAUGGGGGAAACCCUGAUCCAGCGACGCCGCGUGAGUGAAGAAGUAUUUCGGUAUGUAAAGCUCUAUCAGCAGGGAAGAAAGAAAUGACGGUACCUGAGUAAGAAGCCCCGGCUAACUACGUGCCAGCAGCCGCGGGAAUACGUAGGGGGCAAGCGUUAUCCGGAAUUACUGGGUGGAAAGGGAGCGUAGACGGUAAUGCAAGUCUGGAGUGAAAGGCGGGGGCCCAACCCCCGGAGUGCUCUGGAAACUGUGUAACUGGAGUGCAGGAGAGGCAGGCGGAAUUCCUAGUGUAGCGGUGAAAUGCGUAGAUAUUAGGAGGAACACCAGUGGCGAAGGCGGCCUGCUGGACUGUAACUGACGUUGAGGCUCGAAAGCGUGGGGAGCAAACAGGAUUAGAUACCCUAGUAGUC
rnacentral:rRNA from 1 species